ensembl:miRNA MIR221 microRNA 221
CCAAUAUCCAGGUUUGGGGCGUGAACCUGGCACACAAUGUAGAUUUCUGUAUUUAUUUAACAACAGCUACAUUGUCUGCUGGGUUUCAGGCUACUUGGAAAAUCUCC